UCCUAAGGAGAUCCCCUCUCCAGGGGACAAGUCCUAUACCCCAGGAAUGUAGCCCCUUGGAAAAAAUAUCUGAUAUUCUUGGGAAUAUUUUAGGUGAGCUAAUGU
rnacentral:snoRNA from 1 species